rnacentral:sRNA from 1 species
GUUACAAAUAUUUAACCCCAUCCACAGGCUCACAGGUUAACCCUUGACCCCAAGCUGGCGGUGCUGCUUUGGGAGGUGGUGGAAGCUGUAGGAGGCAGGGCCUCAGUUGAGGAAGUGGGUCAGCAUGGCUCUGCAUUCUCAAGACACAACAAUCCAGAGGCAGUGACAUGAAUGCUUGCUCCGUGGACAGGUGGAAAAAUGACUGGGGAUAAAGGAUGGAUGAGAGCAGGACCUGCUGUCUCACAGCAGCGCCACACAGAACCCCACCUGCUGUGGAAUGCACACGAGCCAUUUUAGAGCAUGGGGGAAAUGUGGUAAAAUCCUUUAAAAUCUUCCUGACGAGUAAAUUCCUGGAAAGCAAUUAAUGUGGAAGGCUUUCAGGGACCAGAGGGAGUGGCAGAUAGCUUGAAUCCUGUUUCCUGAGUGGUCAGCCACGGACAUCACUCCAAACCAGGUAGCAAAGAGUGUGCUUUUUACAUCUCUGUUCUAGGAAGAACAUUUGCACAACUUCUAGCAACAUUCUUGGGUCAGUGGCCAUGACCCUGAGGCAAUGCUUAGCGCUACAGUGAUCGUUUGACUCCACACGGUACUACAAAAAGUGAAGCAGUGAAAGCCCUGGGCCACACCAACAAGCACGUGACAAGAGAGACGCUUGCUCAUACGACAGAGGCCUGCAUCCCUUAGGCAGAGUACUGACCAUGAUUGGAUGCGAAUGGAAGAAUGUCAACUAAGGAUUGUGUCUAUAUAGAAAAUCAUUAGCCAAACACCACAGGGCUAAUUAAUGUCAUUUGAAAUACUUUCUGUGUAUGUUGAAUAGAGUGCCGCCAUUAUCAUCUGGCCAAACGAAAUGCCUGCCCAUAAACAACAUGGAGCUAUUUAACAGGAUAGCUAAUUACAUCUCGUCUCACAGCCCCAACUGAUCCUAAGCAACAACUCCCUAAGCUGUGUUGUAGUGCAAGGUAGCCUAAGGCUCUGGGGCAGUUACUGAAUCAUGAGAUUUUACUGUUAGAACUUGUUCGGUGUGUUUAAAAACCACCAAAAUAUUGAAUGGAGUAAAGUUACUAGGGAGACCGCAGCUUGGAAAGAGGCAGAGGAGAUCAAGAUAGAGAGGGACACUUCAAAAGCCACGCUCGGGCUCACAGGCACCUGGCACGAAGCUAAGAAUGCUGGGGGAAUGGGAGGGAAAGUACCAAGCCCUGUGCUUUGCUCCAGGUCACCUGGUUCUAUGCGGCACCCUUGUGGGUGGCCUGUGGCAUCUAUGGCUGGAGGCAGCUGCAUGUGUUUCCAUGGUCUUCAGGUGGCAGGUUCUCUUUUUACCAAGCACUUUGUAUAAACUGUUCCCUUCAGCCUUCCUUCUUCACAUACAUUCUAUAGGAGGUUUAUUUUGGGCCCAAGGCGUGCUUCUCUCUGCAUUUGAUCUCAAAGCAAGCUCGUUGAAAAGAGGACCAGAGACCUAGACAAACCUUAUGGACUUGUGUCAUCCUUCUAUGUAUGCAAGAGACACAUUCCAGGUCCCCCCAUAGGCACCCAAGUUCUCACAUGCUCCGCUGUGGCAUUGCCAUAGAUCUGUACACAUCCCAGUGUGUGUAUUUUGAAUUGUCUCUAGACAAGUUUUGAUGAUAUUGCUGUGUCCAUGCCAGGGAGACAUUUGUUAAUGCUGCAUUGUGUUGGGGAUAAAGACAAGGGGAAAGCCACUCAUGCUCUGUGCAGAGGCAUUUUCAGUAAUCCCCCACCAUGGGGGAGGGAGGUCAGUUAAACCCUAGUGUCCAGGUUGGCUUUUUACUGCUGUGAUAAACACCAUGACCAAAAGCAAAUUGGGGAGAAAAGACUUCAUCUUAUGGCUUAUCGUGCAUCAUCCAGCAAGGCCAGGGCAGGAACUUGAGACAGGGACCUGGAAGGACGUACGAACUAAAGCAGAGACCAUAGAGGAAUGCUACUUACUCUCUUGCCUCCACUGCUUGUUCAUACAGCUCAGGACCACCUCCCACAACGAACUCCAUCCCCCAACCCACGUCCACCUUUAAUCAAGAGUCUUUCCUACAAACCAAUCUAAUGGAGGUAGUUUCUCAGCUGAGUGCUACUCCUCUACUAGUUUGUGUCAGGUUGACAAAUACUAACUAGCACCCUGGAUACAGCAGAUGUCAUGGAUACAAAGGGCUGGCUGCAGUGAUGGGACACUGGCCACCUUACUACCUUACUUCCUACCUACGAUGUGUCAAAGUCCAUCUCACUUUAAACCUAAAGGAGAAAAUAAUUUUGAAUAUUUUUCUUGAUUUUUUUCCCCAAAUGGGAUAUGGGAAAAAAGUACAACAUUACUGGGUCAUUAUUGUUCGUUUUCAGAACAAUGACAGAAUCUGAAAUCAUAUGGGAAAUGGACUCUGGGUUGGAACCCAGAACCUUGUCCCUCCCACUUAGGCAUGUGCUCUUACACUGAGCUACACCCUUGGCCUCAUACCUUCAUUUCUAAAAAUAAUGCCAAUGUGUAAUUGUGAGGAUUAAAGUAACAUGGAGACAAAUGAGUACACACUUCAUGUGCAUCAAAGCGGAGUCAUGCUAGGAAUUGCCUGGAGUGGACAUCUGUCUUAGGAGUUGCCAGGGAUGCUCAUAAUGACUCACAAAGUCUUCAGUGUGCUCCUUGACAUACAGUUUGUGUCACUGGUAUGGUCUUGGCCAGCUGCUCUCCAAUGUUUCCUCUAACUGGCUGCUCUCUGGACAUACCAUGAACCCCUCUGAGAACAAGCUUUUGCAGUGUAUCAGGGCCAACACCACUUGGCUUUUGAGAUGCUAUCUAUGUUUUCCAGCUACAGUGGUUUGUGACAUGCCUGGGCCUGUCCCAGUCUAUCCUAUGGAGACUGUUUACCUGCCUUUUUAAUGCUACAUACAUAUUCAGGUAAGCAGCCUGACGAUGAAUGAUGGCUGUAAGAAGCCAUUUCCAACAGUAGGUUGGGGUCUUGGUGGAUCUCAUGAUGCUCUUCUGUGGGGCUUCUGUAGACUUCAAGGACCAGUAAGCAGUUUUCACCCACAUGGGGGUAUGAGAUGUGAGAGGUGUUUUCUUGCUUUGUUCUCUUACAACUUUUCAAAUUAUAUGAAUGUAAUAAAAAGCAUACAUUAUUAAAAAUUUUAACUAGGUAUUUCACAUAUGGAGCUGUGAAGAAUUUCUUUUGGUGCCAAAAUGUCAUAAGGAAAAAAAGUAUGAGCUUUGUGAUUUGUGGACCUGCUAUGUAGGCAAUCUUUUUCAAAGUUGUAUUUUUCAAGAGGUGUUGGAACAUUUUUCUCCAUAAGGAUCACAGCCACAUUGCAGAGAACUUUCUAGAAAAGAAUUAAGAAUAUGCACCAAGAAACUCAUCACCACAACUGAGCACACAAUGGUGAGCAAGGUUAUCUCUAAAAUUGUACUCUAUACAUUUUUAAUACUCAAAAAGAAACAUCAAUGUGUCUCAUUUUCUAAUUUGUUAGAGAACAUGUCUGGUAACUGAUUAAACAAGCUAUAAAACACGGGGACCAAAGAGCCUCCAAGAACUUGAAAGACAUAUUACUUGGAUAAGCAAGUAACUCAUGAAAGUGAUGCUAUAGGAAAGAAUUUCUGUACAUCCUCCAUGGCUUGGUCCAAGUGAUGAGCCCUUUUCCAGUCCUUCUCAACAGACUUUAUGACCUACGUCGCCUAUUCCUCUCCUUAAUUCAUUAAACUGCAUUAAUUCAAACUAAUUAUCAUUUAAGCCUUUGACUCUAAAUUUCCUGGAUGAAAAUUUUGGAAUCUCUGAGUCAGAUGAACGUAUUACAUAAGUGCGCCCCAAGGAUUCACAAGCAGAAAACACAUCUUAGCGCUCAGUAAUGCCAGGGGACAUUCUUUUAGGGCAUCAUUCCUCCCUGAUUAUCAUUUUAUCUUCGCUCUUCAGUUGCAAGUCUUUCAUGAAGAAUUUGGGCAACGUUUUAAUUUAAAAAAAUUCCACCAUGCUACUUACAAACAUCAUUUUAAAAAACCUUUUAUUCAAUGGUAUACACAUUCAAGUAACAUUUGAAAUUUUUAAAAUAUAUGCUCAGAAGCAUGUGAACCUGCUGCUCUUGGUUAUUUACCUCACACACCCGGCUCAUGGUCACGUGCCCUUCAGGAGCCUAUUCCUGGAACCCCAUUUGGCAGUUUACCCAACAGAGCAAAAUUAAAAUUUAGAUCCUAGCCCCAAAAUGUUAUGUAACCAAAGCUUUGGUUUUUUGUGACCUUGAAGCGCUAGGUCAAGCCAAACAGCUUGAAUGUAAUUGUGUUUAACUGGAAACUCUGUGUCUGUACAUUUUUAAUGUCCCCAGAUUGCCACAUGAGACUCAGUCUUUAAAUGGGAUCCUUCUGAAGAGCAGAUUUCUUUGGGAGACAGGAUGAGGUAAAUAUGUAGAGACUAAUAUGACACAUGACUGUUUUGCAGGAUGACGCAACCAUGCAGUUGUUUUGUGAUUACCAAGCUCAUGAAGAAUGAACAAUAGACAUUGGAUGCAUUGGUUCAUGCUGUAGCCGCUGUAAUCAGGAAGCUGUGGGAGGAAGAACCCAAGUAGGAAGCCAAUCUGGAUACAUAGGGAUAGCCUGUCUAAGAAAACUAAAAAACUGUAUUCUGAAUACAACCCAAUGGCUUAAAGUAUCACUUAUAAGGAAACUGUAAACUUGCAAAACACUUAGAUUAUUUUUCUAAGGUUCCAAAGUAAGUGUAAUCGGUAAAGUUAAAAACUGUGGAGACAAUUAAGAGCAUGUAUGAGUCAGAUACUGGAAGCCUAGAAAGGAUCAAAAUUUAGAUCAAACAUGGGUUCUACUAAGGAUAUGCCCCCUAGCACUGUUUGGUCAAAGACCCACUAAUAUAUCCACCAAUAAUAAAGAGAACCUGUUCAAGUGUGUGUGUGCUGGAAUGACGCUCUUUGCUUUUCCAUUUUUUCCUGUCCAUUUGCCAGUACCAUUCCUUCUUAGUAUUUGUCGUGGUGGAAUGAUGUUCUGAGGACGUCUGAGGUUGGUACUAUGAGAGUUAUUUGUAAUGCUCAACUUGACACAGUGAAGGGAGGGUCAAUGUGGAAACUUCUGGGCUAGGAUGGCCUAUCAGGGGUGUUUGUGGGCAACUGUCAUGGUUACCUGCACAUGUGGGAAGAUCCGUGUGCAGCAUCUAUCUGUGACUUUGGAUCCUGAACUGUUGAGUGAUCAGAAAGUAGCUCAUUGAUUUCUGCUCCCAUUACUGCGUCUUCUCAGCUAUGUUGAACUGUGACCAGGAAUUGUGAGCCAAAAUAAAAAUUGCUUUUUAGGGUUCUUUAUCACAGCAACAAGAAAUAAAACUAAUCUAGAAACUGAACUUUAAGAAUUUAUUUAAACUCCACCUAGCCCAGAAGUUUCCACAUGGAUCCCAGCAGCCAGGAAAUGGAAGGAAAAAAUAUUCAUUCAUGGGGAGACAAUUAUACUUUCUUGAGCCACUGUACUUUCCGGAGUUAUGUCAUUUUACUGAAAUGGAGCCUUAUAAAUGGCAUAGCCCUGGUGUUUAAAAAUAAUGUAAUAUUCUUUGCAGCAUUCUUACAGAAUGAAUGAAGCACAGAUCCUGCUCAUUCUUCCUGUGUCCACUAUCCACACCAAAAGAAGAUCUACCCAAGUCGAAACCAUCACUCCAUCUGUUACUAUCACUCUUUGGAGUUCAGGACCCCAUCUGCUCCCAAGAGAGCAUGGUUGAAGGUCAGGGGUGGAGUCAGGAACAUUGGUUAGCAUGUUCAGCCCGAGUAGCUGCUGAGUCAGCAUCCAUUACAUCAUUUCUGCUCAUUCCCCAGGCCCUUCUCCAGGUCAUGCUGGACUCCUCCCUGCCAUGUGUCCUGCUCUUGGUGUCACCCUGUUCUUUGGCCCCAGUCUCCUCCUGCCGUCCUCAGAUGGAGGCAGACUCCAUGGAUGCCUGUCUUCUGUAUCUGGUAAACAGACACAGGAAAAUUGCUAGUUCAAAGUCAGCUAGAGCCACAAGGUCCCACUUCACAUUCUGAGUAACUGUCCCAGCUUCUGGAGAGCAAACAGAACAUGCUAAGGACCGUGACAUGGGAAGGUCAGUAGAGACAUCUAUUCUCCCAGUGAUGCUCAUACGGAAACAAUGUGUGACUGAAGUCAAAUGGAAAUACAAAAGCGUAUUUAUUCCUGGUCUAUGCAGUUCCUUGGACACCUGAUACCUCUCUCCUGCUAACAAGAGUUUCAACAAUGUUCACACACACAGAUGCCCCCAACUGGAGACAUAUCUAUAAAAAAAAUCUAUGAUGAAUUUUACUUGGAGCUAUAACAGCAAAAGUUCAAACAAUAUGCAUUCUUGAAAAACAGAAGAGUAAAAAAUAAAAGAUUACUGUAAUAUCCCAAA